rnacentral:sRNA from 1 species
UCCACGCCGAGACGGUGGGAACCGCAGCAAA